AAUUUUUCCAUUGAGCAUUAUUUUAGCACUAGUUGGCGUAAAAUGAGCUACUUGGAGGAAUAUAAAAAUGGUGAUGUUGAAGCAAUACAACAUUUUGAAUAUUGCUCUUAAAUGACAUUGCUUAAUUUUCAAAAUUUAAAUUGAUUUUAUACUUUAUCAGAUGACAUGGGUAGUAACAUCAGAAGGAUUUAGAUCUAGGGUUGUUUGGGUUAUAAUUGUUUAAAAUACAUCUUUUUUGCUUUGUUGCAGAAACAAGCAGCAUGUCAGGAGAAGAUAGAACAGUUAAAUGCCUCAUC